rnacentral:lncRNA from 1 species
CUUGGGGGGACCAUACACUUGGUACAUAACAUCCAGACAGCUCAUGGCUGUCCGCGGCCGCUAAUUCGUUUUUCGGUCAUCAACUCGCGUUCUGCAGAGCGGAGCAGUGCUCGGCGGGAGGGAGGAUCCCGGGGGUUAAGAGGCACGGCUCACUGUGGGAGGAGUGAUUGAGGGGUGAGACCGCGCCGCGCUGAGGUCCCCCCCGGCUCUGCCUCCCCCCCACGCAGCGCGGCUCCCUCCCGGCGCCCGCAACCGCGCUGCGGCUCCGCGGGACGGGGGGACUCAACCCAGGGCAGGGAGGGGAGAGCCCCCUUCCGCCCGCCGUGCCGGGGCGGGUUUCCCCGGACGAAGCAGGGACCGUCCUGCAAGGAAGGUAAUGCCCCCAGACCCAGAGUGCGCCUGGGAACGCUGGCACCAGAGCUCCGGGAUCAGCCGAAGCUGGAGAAAAGUUAUCUCACCGGGAGGAACCUUCCUAGAAACGUAGGAUGGGAAAUGCCGGGAAUGAAUGAGGAUGCUUGUGCACGGUUCCUGUGGUAAAAACAACCCGUAGGGAAGGUAAAGCGGCUUACCCCUCGGCUUCCCGGUGAGCGCAAGCACACGGACAGGUGAACGCAUCCCAGCGCAGCUUCGACGGCGGUGUGCAGGAGAGCUCGGUCUGUAACACACGGAUGGAGGCUCUCAUGUCGGUGCCAGCUCCUGAAGCAUCCAUAGCGUGGCUCAUAGCGACUGAGGAAAGGGACCCGAUUGAACUUAGUUGAAGCAAAUACCCGCAGUAGAGGGAAGGACUCGCCCCAUGGCCGGCAUCCAAAAGGCUGCGCUCAGUGGAAGAAUGCACCAGCUCCCUGCAGCAGGAGCCUGAGGGACCUCACUGGGACCACAGGGCCCCUCUCCCAGCCUGGUGUCCCCCACCAGGCAGCGUCCCCAUCCCGAGGAGGUUGGGGUCUGUCUCAAAGGACACGGCAACUGUUACCAUGGUUUUCUCAGCAUUGUUUCUGAGGUGCAGUCCCUGGGUCCAUGUGGGUGAAGAUUUCAGGGUCAGAAAUUGCUGGUUUGAUUGCAUUCAUGGGCACUGAAUUCAUGAAGCUUACAGAUAAAAUUCAGCAUGAUAAAGUUUCAGACAGAGGGAGGUAGGUGGCAGAGGAAGACUGCAGCUUGAGAAAGUGAGUAGCUAGAUGCAAGGAAACAACAAGACUGCCAGAUUCUUAGCUGAGCAUAAACAGGCACAAAGGAGUCUUUGGUUGAAAAAUGAUGUGAUCCAACAAACUAUCAUGACAAGUACUUGCAUGUCAGCUGCAGAUUACGGUCCAUUAGAUUUGGGUGCGCAGUGGAGAGAGACCUACCUUUGAUAACUCAAAGACAGGAGGUACACUAUGUGGGCCAUAACCAGGUAUUGUAAUAUGCUUCAAAGAAUCUGUGGACGAGAGGAUUUCUUGUUUAUUACCAGCAAUGUCAAAUGACAGGUGCGAAAUAAAUUUUAUCUAAAAAGCUUGUGUGAUGGUCAAGUUUUGGAGGUGUUGAGAACCAAACACUUUGACAUUACACUCUGUGUAGUCAUUCCAGUGGUUCAUAAACACCUAGUUCUGGCAGUCUGAAUCCAGACAUCGAGGAAAAAAUCUGUGGUGCUGAAUUUACUCUGAGCAAUCAGAAUCUCAUCCACUGACCCCC